CUGUGUUUCUGUGUGGUUGAGGCAGAUACACUGUGUGGUAGGAAUUUAAAGGAGUUAAAAACUGAUACAGCAACAUUUCAUUACAGAGAGAAAAACUCCCAUAAUCUCCGUUCAGAGGCAGAUAGUGGAGGGGGACAUUUUUCAGGCCAACUGCAGCAUUAACUACUCCUGUCCUUCCUCACCUCCAUCCAUCCACUGGAAGAAAAGCUCAUCUCUGGAAAGCUCCACUUUCACCAGGGAAGUGCAAGGCCAGUGGUUAUAUAGAGAAACAAUGCACGGACUGGCAACAAAUGAAAUCCAUAACGGCAAACUGAGUUUUUCUGCACAGUUCAGAACCUUCACCACACAAAGUCAAGAAAUUACACUCAACAUUUUAUAUAAACCUGUUGCUGUAAGUCUGAAACUGGAAAACAAACCAGUGACAGAGGGUGGCAGCUCUGGUUAACUCCAAAGCUCAGCACAAGCAGCUGGUGGAGGAUCUCUGUCGCUCCUCCUUCACCCCAGCAGGUGGAGGCAUUUGGCCGCCCUCCCUGAGCCUGGUUCUGCUGGAGAUGUUGGCUCAUGGCAACUCGGCUGAUUUCACCUGUGAGAUGACUGUUGGAGUUUUGGCGAUUCUUCAGAGCCCUGAAAAAUACAGAAGAACAUGCAGCAUCAGUGUUGUAUUUGAUUUGCAUUUGUUCUUUCUCACUGCGCUUGUUUUUCCACAGGAUGAAACCACAGAGAAAGCAAGAGUAUAGGAAAGGUCAGCCUCUUCUACAAAAGCUGGUCCAUGCUAGGUGAUGGUCAGCGAACAGCAAUAAAAGAUAUGUAGCAAAUGAAAUACAAAUCUCUCAAAGGGCCAAGGCAUGUGGAUUGAAAAAAGUGAAUUCUCCAAAAUCAUUAAAUGUCCUAACAGAAAACAAUUUCAAAUUUUUAGACUAACAAAGAAAUUCAUUCUGGAUGUGAUACACUGCCAAGAAAAACAAUUCACCACACUUCCAUGUCUCCCCUUUCAUUGCUUUU
ensembl:lncRNA